rnacentral:rRNA from 1 species
AGAUUGAACGCUGGCGGAAUGCUUUACACAUGCAAGUCGAACGGCAGCACGGGGGCAACCCUGGUGGCGAGUGGCGAACGGGUGAGUAAUACAUCGGAACGUGCCCAGUCGUGGGGGAUAACGUAGCGAAAGCUACGCUAAUACCGCAUACGAACUCUGGUUGAAAGCGGGGGACUCGCAAGAGCCUCGCGCGAUUGGAGCGGCCGAUGGCAGAUUAGGUAGUUGGUGGGGUAAAGGCUCACCAAGCCGACGAUCUGUAGC